CAGAAAUCAGGCCAACUGAGUAAUUGCUAUAAUGCAUUCCCUUUUCAUAAUAUCUGCACUGAAUCUUUGUUGCUUCGCACUUCAGUUUGCAUUCCAGCAUUCUUUCAUGCCAAGCCUGGUGAUUACUUUGAGUCCCUGAGCUACAGGCAUAAUUAUCUCUCAAGAAGACAUUGGGGACUCUUGAGAGGAAGCCCGAGGAAGAUGGAGAGAAGAAUACUAGAUGAAGGAUUAAGACCAACAGAACCUGAGAAUCUAUCAAGGUGAACCACAGAACCUUCUCAUUUUGUACUUAGAGGUUUUGUCCGAGGUAUUUCCACUAAGAACAAGGACCUGAAGUCAUCUAAAGCUAAAAGAAGAAAUGGAGUCUUAAAAUCUCAAGGAUGCUCUUUCCAGCUUCAUCAUCUGUUAUAUGGUCUUAGGCAAGCCAUUCAACU
rnacentral:lncRNA from 1 species